rnacentral:rRNA from 1 species
GACGAACGCUGGCGGCGUGCCUAACACAUGCAAGUCGAGCGGGGUCCAUCCGGUAGCAAUACCGGGGAAGACCUAGCGGCGAACGGGUGAGUAACACGUGAGAAACCUGCCCCGAAGUCUGGGAUAACCCGAGGAAACUCGAGCUAAUACCGGAUGUCUUCUUCUGAUCGCAUGGUCGGAUGAAGAAAGAUUUAUCGCUUCGGGAGGGUCUCGCGGCCUAUCAGCUAGUUGGCGGGGUAACGGCCCACCAAGGCGUCGACGGGUAGCUGGUCUGAGAGGACGAUCAGCCACACUGGGACUGAGACACGGCCCAGACUCCUACGGGAGGCAGCAGUGGGGAAUAUUGCACAAUGGGCGAAAGCCUGACGCAGCAACGCCGCGUGCGGGAUGAAGGCCUU